AAUAUUGCACAAUGGGGGAAACCCUGAUGCAGCGCCGCCUCGUUAGCGAAUAAGGCCUUCGGGUCGUAAAGCUCUGUCCUAAGGGAAGAAACGGACUGUACCUUAGGAGGAAGCCUCGGCUAUCUUCGUGCCAGCAGCCGCGGUAAUACGUAGGGGGCGAGCGUUAUCCGGAAUUAUUGGGCGUAAAGGGUGCGUAGGCGGCAUUUUAAGUCAAAUGUGAAAGGCAACGGCUUAACCGUAGUUAGCAUUUGAAACUAAAAGGAUUGAGUGCAGGAGAGGAGAGUGGAAUUCCUAGUGUAGCAGUGAAAUGCGUAGAUAUUAGGAGGAACACCAGUGGCGAAGGCGACUCUCUGGACUGCAACUGACGCUGAGGCACGAAAGCGUGGGGAGCGAAC
rnacentral:rRNA from 1 species